AUGGGUCCAUUUCAAUUUGUCAUAUUAUUUUAUAGAAUCUCACCACCUAAGGCAAAUGUAAUUGAUAAUAAUAGCAGAGUGGAACAAGUCUCUGACACCAUUUCUGGUUUGUCCGACCCACUGGCCUGGCUUUGCCCUUGCCAGUUGGUAUUGCUGUUUCUCUUCCUGCUUGGCCCCAGCUUGGUCCUUGCCAUCUCCUUCCAUCUGCCCAUUAAUUCUCGCCAGUGUCUCCGCGAAGAGAUCCACAAGGACUUGUUAGUGACCGGCACCUAGGAGAUCACGGACCAGUCUGGGGGCGCUGGAGGCCUGCGCACCCACCUCAAGAUCACAGAUUCUGUUGGCCAUAUUCUGUACUCCAAGGAAGAUGCAUCUAAGGGAAAGUUUGCCUUUACUGCUGAAGAUUAUGAUAUGUUUGAAGUGUGUUUUGAGAGCAAGAGAACAGGGCGGAUACCUGCCCAACUCGUGAUCUUAGGUAUGAAGCAUGGAGUGGAGGCAAAAAAUUAUGAAGAGAUUGCCAAAGUGGAGAAACUCAAACCAUUAGAGGUGGAACUCCAACGUCUCGAAGACCUUUCAGAAUCUAUCGUUAAUGAUUUUGCUUACAUGAAGAAGUGGGAGGAGAUGUGUGACACCAAUGAGUCAACAAACACUCGGGUCCUGUACUUAAGCAUCUUUUCAAUGUUCUGCCUCAUCAGACUAGCCACCUGGCAUGUCUUCUACCUGCGUUGCUUCUUCAAGGCCCAAGAAGUUAAUUGA